GACGAACGCUGGCGGCGUGCCUAAUACAUGCAAGUUGAGCGCUGAAGGUUGGUACUUGUACCAACUGGAUGAGCAGCGAACGGGUGAGUAACGCGUGGGGAAUCUGCCUUUGAGCGGGGGACAACAUUUGGAAACGAAUGCUAAUACCGCAUAAAAACUUUAAACACAAGUUUUAAGUUUGAAAGAUGCAAUUGCAUCACUCAAAGAUGAUCCCGCGUUGUAUUAGCUAGUUGGUGAGGUAAAGGCUCACCAAGGCGAUGAUACAUAGCCGACCUGAGAGGGUGAUCGGCCACAUUGGGACUGAGACACGGCCCAAACUCCUACGGGGGGCAGCAGUAGGGAAUCUUCGGCAAUGGACGAAAGUCUGACCGAGCAGCGCCGCGUGAGUGAAGAAGGUUUUCGGAUCGUAAAACUCUGUUGGUAGAGAAGAACGUUGGUGAGAGUGGAAAGCUCAUCAAGUGACGGUAACUACCCAGAAAGGGACGGCUAACUAC
rnacentral:rRNA from 1 species